ensembl:lincRNA
GGCUUUCCCUCAACUUUUAUAAUGACUUCAGGCUCUUGGGAGCCCAACUUAAGUUGAUGGAACUUGGUCUCUCCUAUCCAUCCAGGCAUGACAGGGCUCCUGGAAGCUAAGCCUGAAAAGACAAUAAGUGAAGAUGGCUGCAAUCAAUGGUCCAACAGAAAUGUCCAGAGAGGAGUUGGAGACCCAAUAUACAGGGCUCCCAGGAGAUACAAGUCAAGCACUACACUUAGUAACACAUCACAAGGAGGAGAGAGUGAUCAGCAACACACUCCAGGUUUUCCGAGAUCCUGAAAGCAGACACCUGAAAAGUAACAACUUGGCAGCAAGAAAAACAAACAAACAAAGAGAAGUAGAUCACCGGGAAUUGUAAAGGAACUAAACCUACAGAGAAGCUGGAGACAUGGACCACCAGCGGAGAAUACCAAGCAAUCUGAAAGCUCUGCUUGACUCCCCAUGAGGUAUAAUAUCAUUAUGUCCUAUAAAUUUAUACUAUUUAAAAAAUC